AUCGCUUCUCGGCCUUUUGGCUAAGAUCAAGUGUAGUAUCUGUUUUUAUCAGAAGAUCACGACAGUAGAUCACCGAAUUCACAGUAAACGGCAUUUACCCCAGGAGCAAAGCUGUGAAAAAUGUCAUCCACAGUUUUUUGUUUUUUUUGGGGGGGGGGAUGGAUAGUGAAUGGGUAUAGGUGACAACAUCUU